GGUGAAGCCGCGAGACUCACGAAUCAGAGUGCCAAGUGGGCCAUUUUUGGUAAGCAGAACUGGCGCUGUGGGAUGAACCAAACGCCGAGUUAAAGCGCCUAAAUCGACGCUCAUUGGAAACCAUGAAAGGCGUUGGUUGCUUAAGACAGCAGGACGGUGGCCAUGGAAGUCGAAAUCCGCUAAGGAGUGUGUAACAACUC
rnacentral:ncRNA from 1 species